rnacentral:rRNA from 1 species
GGUCAAGCUACAAAGGGCUCACGGUGUAUACCUUGGCACACAGAGGCGAUGAAGGACGUGGUUACCUGCGAUAAGUCUCGGGGAGCUGGAAGCACGCUUUGAUCCGGGAAUUUCCGAAUGGGGCAACCCCUUGUACGGCCA